GUGGAUUAGAUACCCGAGUAGUCCACACUGUAAACGAUGAUUGCUAGGUGUGGGGGGUCUGACCCCCUCCGUGCCGGAGUUAACGCAAUAAGCAAUCCACCUGGGGAGUACGGCCGCAAGGUUGAAACUCAAAGGAAUUGACGGGGGCCCGCACAAGCAGUGGAUUAUGUGGUUUAAUUCGAAGCAACGCGAAGAACCUUACCAGGUCUUGACAUCCGACUAACGAGAUAGAGAUAUGUCAGGUGCCCUUCGGGGAAAGUCGAGACAGGUGGUGCACGGCCGUCGCCAGCU
rnacentral:rRNA from 1 species